rnacentral:lncRNA from 1 species
CGUAUGCUUUCAUGUAUUAGAACCUCAGCAUUUGGAAACUGAACAACCAUAUCUUUCUUCUUCUCCUUCUUCAACUGCAGAUACAACACAACAUGAGGAGAUCACCAAUUCAAGUUACUAAGCUAGAGCAUAGAAAAUGAAAUACUAUGAAAGAGAAGCGGAAUUUAUAUUUGAAUUUCGUUAUGCAGUCAUUACAAACAGCUUAUGCAAAUUACAAGCAGCUUAUGCAACAUAUAUACUGACUUAUGCAAUCAUUCUUCAUUAUUACCAUAUUUGUCCAUUAUAAUUUGAUCUUCUCCACACACACACACAUAUAUAUAUAUAGGGGGCUGCUCUAAUGAGACCCCCUCAUUAUAUUAAUGCGAACAAGAAAUCAAACCUUAAUGUUCAACACCCUUAAUGUGAUCUUCUUAACAUGGCAGAUGCUUGUGAAGAGUUGAUAGAACGGCUCAACAGGCAGAUAAUCCUCAACAAAAUAUUCUUUAAAACAAGCUUCAGUCAAAGAAGGGGCAUGGCACAAAAACCUAGCACCAUCAUAAAUAGAUGCGUGAAUUUUUAAAGUCAAAAGAUUAGGAGCCGA